rnacentral:miRNA from 1 species
CUAAGACACUGAGAAACUAGGGGAAACUGGGAGACAUGGGGACACAGACACUUGGGGACACUGGGAGACAUGGGGGCACUUGUGGACAUAGACAUGUGUCCCCAAGUGUCUGUGUCCCCACAUCUCCCAGUGUCCCAGUGUCCCCUAGUGUCUCAGU